GCUGUGAGAAGAGAUCGCCAAAAGAUGUUGGGGGAAGCACAGUGGACCAUGGCGUGUCCUCGUGUCCCUGCCCUCCUGCUGCUGGUGGUGGUUGGUACUGGUGUGAACACCCAGAACACCUGCAUCUCCAGGGCUGAUGGUACUCUCCAGGCUCCAGUCCUGUUCCUUAACGCAUCCAGUGCUCAGGAAGGAGAAGUUGUCUUGGCUCGAUGUGUCUUUCAGAAACAGUUUCCU